GUUCAACAUUACAGUAAGCUAUGAUUAUGCCACUGCUUUCCAGCCUAGGUGACAGAGGGAAAUUCCAUGACUAAAAAUGCAUGGGUAAAUAUCCCACACAUGAAGUACAGCAGGGAUAAAUCUUCCCAUUAACAUGUGAUCAAAAAUUAGUCGUGACCCUUGAAAUAAACCCCAAGCUUAUACCAGCUCCCAUUCUGAUGUCCUUCAUAUACUUUUCUGAAAGUAUGUGACAUUUCUGACUUAUUAAAUCGAGAAGGAAGUCAUAGAACAGGUUUUUAUCUGAUUGUGCAAUUUCAAGUUCCAGUGUCAUUGAGGGUAGGGGUAGAGAAAAAAGAAGAAAGGAAGAUCCCAGAGGAACUACCAUUCAAUUUCCAGUCAUGUUCACCAGCCCCAGGAAAUUUAAAGUUGCGAUGAUUUGGGGAGAGAAUUUUAAUAGUGUUCUUUUCCUCCGCCUUCUAUUUCAUUUAAUACAAUAAAGAGCCCUGAAUUUUUAUUUUCAGUAGAAUCAGUGUUUUUUUAAAAAUAUCUUUUUCCAGCCUAUUUCAGAUCUUUGAACUUUCAUUUUUUUUCUGGUUGUUUUUUCCUGAUAAAUCCAUGCCAAAAUAAUAGGCAUCCCCAUAAAUCAGGAAAAGCAUUGCCCUCCAAAAUAUUGACAUUGAAAAUGUCAGUUGCCUUUCUGUAUUUGAGUUUCCAAGAGCAAAAUCCAUCUAUUGUCGUUAUUUAUGCCACUGAACAUUUGUAGCAGGGUCAGGUUUAUACAGAAGCAGAAAAAAAGUGUUCAUACCCGUAAUUCCCUCUGACAUUAAUGUUGCCUGUUUAUUCUCCUCCAUCCCAUUUUGAAAAUGCAUCCUUCAGUUGAAUACAGCGUACUGAAUAUCCAUUCUGUUUAGUCUGCACUUGUGGCAGAAAACAAACACCAAUUGGCAUCUUGGCUCUAUUACAUUUUCUGACAAGUGGGAACUAAUCUGUUUGUGAUGCAAUAAAUACUUGGUUCUAAGUCAUUCAGCAAAUUGGCUUAUUUAGCCUUAGCUCUGCAGGGAUGCAUAGAGGGAAGAAUUUUCACCCUUCAUUGAUUCCACACUGAAAUAAGUUAUAAUUGUCUAUGCACACAGCUGGAGGAACUUUAUGAUGGUGUAAGUGAAUGAGCAGUUAGUGAAAAUACUCUUCUAAGUCAGUGCAAAACUAGUAAUGAUCUUACUGUUUACCUACGUGGCUAGAGCAGACUUUUUUCUGUUCAUGAGAGCUGAUUGUCAAAUAUUCAGGAAUUUCAUGACCUGGAUAUUAAACCUUGGAACUUUGAAAUUGGAAGUAUUUAUACCACAGAAAUUGUCAAUCACUUCAAAUCAGGGCUUUUUUGUUUUUCUUGAAAGCUGAUUUAUAUAUAUACCACUGUCUACUUUAAAUCAAUGUAGAAAAGUUACAAAGGAGAUGGCAGGUAAAAAAAAAACUUAAGGUUUCAAAGGGAAAGGUGAAUAACACAAGUAAACUAAAAACACAAAGAAAUUGAUGACAAAGGUGUAAUAAUUUUUUAGAAAGGUGCACAGAUGGAGAUACACGUAUUUAAGUAUUUGAAAGAUAGAGACCUGGUUAUUAGACUAAGCAAGUAUGAUAAUGAUUUAUGAAAGUGCAUCUGAAAUAAGGUGGUUUUGUUUUUAAAUUUUUGAGACAGGGUUUCACUCUGUCACCCAGUCUGGAGUGCAGUGGUGCAAUUACAGCUCACUGCAGCCUCGACCUCUCAGGUCGAUUGCUCAAGCAAUCCUCCCACCUCAGUGUCCCAACUAACUGGGACAGCAGGCAUGCACCAUGCCCGGUUAAUUUACUUAUUCUUUUUAAUUUUUUUUUGUUGAGACGGGGUCUCACUAUGUUGCCCAGGCUGGUCUAGAACUCCUGGGCUCAAGUGAUCCUCCCACCUUGGCCUCCCAAAGUGCUGGGAUUACAGGUGUGAACCACCACACCCAGCCUGUUUUCUUGUUAGUUGAAGUAGGCAGCACAAAUCAUAAUGAUUUUCACAAAUCAUAAUGAACACGCCCACAUAAGCACCAUCCAGGUAAUCAAGCAAACUUUGAAGAGACAAAAAGGUACUCUUUUGUGGAAAGUAAUGGAUUAGGCAUUCCUAGCACGCAUGCAACAGGAAAACGACUUGCAGCACCAUAACCGAUAUAUUUGAGCUUCAAGAAUUUCAGCUGCACAAUAAACCCUCCUCUGAAUUUUUAUUUUAUUGGAUGCUGCAGAUUAGUUUAUAAAGACUUUUUAGCUGUGCUGAUGAAUAUAUGUAAUAGCUAAAUUUAGGGCUUUUAAAAAACACUCCUUUGAGAUUUGAAGGUGUUGCUUAGCUACUCCUUUUCUUAGUGAAGUCUCUUAUUUAAUGUAAUUUCUUAUGCUGCAGGUGGGGGAAGUGGGCUAUUAUUGAAUAUCUUUCUGUCAGGUUUCAUAGCAUAUGCAGUAUACACAUUGCUGCUACUUUUGUGUUGUUAACUCCUUAGUCUCCUAAAACUAGACAUUUAAACCAUCAUUUGUAUAUGUAUGUGUGUGCAUUCUUUUCUUGGUGGAAAGGUUUAUAAUUGUGAUGAUAAUACCUGUAGUUAUACUAAAUUGUUUCAUUUUUACUGUAAAAAUUUUUUCAGUACCAGACCUUUAAAACAAGAAUUAUAUGGUAGCAUGAGAUUGUGCUAAAUGGUUUUCCAAAAUAAUUAAACCUUCAGAAGUGAACCCAUCCUUUAAGCCUGUGUUUUUUUCCUUGAGUCUCCUAGAGCUUCCAGUUCUCUACACCUGAACCUGGGCAUGGACCAUUGAAGGAUCAACAGAGUCCUUGUCAGCGGUGGCAACUGGGCAGUUGAAAGAGUUAGCAGUGUGGCUGUCUAUGAAACUGACAAGACUAAUUUUGUUGGCUCUAGUAUGGAACAGUAACCACUGUGCUACCAGCCAUAGAUCUACUUCAAUGCCAAAAUACAAAUGUAACCAUCCAGUUCCAUUGUCAACCAGCCCAUCUAAGUAAUGCUGUGACUAGUAAAUUAGAACCGACCCCUCAGCUAUCAAAUACACUUGAACCAUUUGGAUAUAA